rnacentral:rRNA from 1 species
ACAAUGGAGAGUUUGAUCCUGGCUCAGGACGAACGCUGGCGGCGGGCUUAACACAUGCAAGUCGAAGGAGAAGGUGGAAGCU